UACGUAGGUGACAAGCGUUGUCCGGAUUUACUGGGCGUAAAGGGCGCGUAGGCGGCCAGUGCAAGUCAGUUGUGAAAUCUCCGAGCUUAACUCGGAAAGGUCAACUGAUACUGCUCGGCUAGAGUGCGGAAGGGGCAACUGGAAUUCUUGGUGUAGCGGUGGAAUGCGCAGAUAUCAGGAGGAACACCGAUGGCGAAGGCAGGUCACUGGGCCGCAACUGACGCUGAGGAGCGAAAGCAUGGGGAGCGAACAGG
rnacentral:rRNA from 1 species